ACAUUAUAGUUGCAUUUUUCCCCCUCAUCAGAGCCUUUUCCUCUCAAUUACCAGUAUUACAACUGAUCUUCAAUUACUAAUAGAAUUACUGAUUUUCAGGGGUGCAGUGUGAUCAUCCACUGUCUCACAUAAUGCAUUAAUUCUCUGGCUGUAUUUGCAUUUUUAUUUAUUUUUAAAAAAGAUUUUAUUUAUUUAUUUAAUUAAGAGAGAGAGAGAUUGAGAGAGAGAGAGCAUGAGCAGGUGCGGGGGGAGAGGAAGAAGCAGAUUUCUCACCACCCCUCAACAAGGAAGCCCCAUGUAGCUGGAUUCCAGGACUCUGAGAUCAUGACCUGAACCUAAGGCAGACGCUUAACUGACUGAACCACCCAGGCGCCCCUAUAUUUGCAUUUUUAAAAUUCACUCCAGUAUAAUAAACACCUAACCUCCUCUUAUGAUAUGACCUCAGAUUUACUUCACUGUUUACAAAACUCUUGUCUGUAAGUAGUAUCCUUGUUGUCUUAACUGUUCUGUUCCAGACACCUCAUGUGAUAGUGGAUGAAUCCUGGCAGAGACCACCAUAGAUAUUAUGGAGAAAGAAUGUUUCCAGUCCUGGAACUGUCAAUACUUAUCUCUGAUACAAGAGAGAACAGGAAAAAAACUUUAAUAGAGGAAAAGGAACAAUGAGGAGUCAAUGUGACAUAUAGCUAGUGAAUGAUGAGCUGGCGUCCCUCAACUUCUCAUCUGAUGCUUUUUGAGUAUAUUUUACUUCAGCGCAUCUCUUCAGAAUAGACAGGUAUUGCGAUGAGACAUUUAACAGAUGUACAGGCAGCCCUAUAUUGCCUUCCCUAACCUAAAUUUAAUUUAUGGCAAGAAAAAUGGAUCAAGUUUGCAUGCUUUUCUUAUCUUUUAUAGGAGAAACGCACAGCUAAUAUAAUGUAUUUAUUUGAAAGGGGGACACCUGGGUGGCUCAGAGGUUGAGCAUCUGCCUUUGGCUCAGGGCAUGAUCCUGGGGUCCUGGGAUUGAGUCCCGCAUUGGGCUCCGAGCAUAGAGCGUGCUUCUCCCUCUUCCUGUGCCUCUGCCUCCCUCUCUGUGUCUCUCAUGAAUAAAUAUAUAAAAAUCUUAAAAAAAAAAAAGAAUAGAUUUUAAAGGAUGCUCAGUAACUUGGUACAAGGUGACAUGGUGAUAUUUUAAUAUACACUUUUUCCUGUGUUCUUUUCCAUCAUCAAGACUGUAGUUAAUGUGU
rnacentral:lncRNA from 1 species